rnacentral:lncRNA from 1 species
GUUAACAACCUUAACAAAUGAUUGGUAAUAAAUACACCAAUGUUCCUAAUGUCAAAAACUAAUAUAAUGAGUGAAACUAUGAAAAAGUGGUGGCAAAAGUAGCCUGGGCGGUGGUACUUGUGGGGCUAACAAGGGUAAAAGUAAAAGCCAUGGUACGAGUUAACAAAUGGUACUAGAAUCAUGAAUUAUUGCGGAAUUGCCACUUAGCCCACAUUUGAAGUCAAUGAGAGUUAAUGUCCAUGGUCGACUUAGGGAAAGCGACAUGAAUGAGAAAGCUUUAUUAUCUCCCUCCAAAAAUGGCAAAAAUAGCCUUGUUUCAGUUGAGCUACCCAAAAGAAAUACUCUGUCUCGCUCCAAAAAUAGCAAAAAUAGCCCUUCUUUUUUCAAAUAAGGUAAUCUUAAGGGUGGCAAUGUUACACCCGUGACCCACGGGGACACUCAGACCUCGGAUUCAGUUAUGGGUCCACAAUUUUGGACCCGAAUAUUAUUUAAAUCUGGUUUCGAGUUUAGGUCCCGGGCUAGCUAUACCCGACCCAUACUUGUAGUCAUGACAUAUAUGAUGCAAUCAUGUGCAGG